UGGGAUCCUCUACUGGAUGGUUAACAGCAGCUUUGGUAACUGUAUGCUGUCCAUACCCAAUUAUGCUCUGCUAAAAAUGAACUCUGCAGAACAACCUUCCUGAGCUGUCAGUGUCUCCCGUUUUCCUAUUUUAACGCUUGUGUGUAGUGGCAGGCGACAGAUGGUGUAGAUCAGAUCGAUUUGAUUGCAUUAGGCGAUUUUUUUUUUUUUCCUCCUCUCCCCCCCGACUCCUUUUCUGGAAGCCCACAUUCAUCUGAGAGGCGAUCGCCGGGGACAUGGGAAGCAAGAGCAGCCGCCGAUGUGUGAAAGCAACGAGACAUGGCCAGCCAGAGGCGCCGGGGUCCCUUCAUGGGGUUUGUUAACAUGGUAAUCCGGCACCAGGAGAGAAAGCUGCUUUCUGCUGCCCAGAGCCCAUUCCCCAUCACACAUCAGAUGACUCCCUGGUUUUACACACAGUUGGAGUUCUGCUCGAAACCUGGAUUUAAAGGCUGCCAUUUAGAAUACGACUUGAGAGCUUGCUGUGUUAGAGGAAUACAGGAAAUUACACCUACAAUGAGAUUAAAAUAGAGGAGAGUGUGUUGGAAAUAUUUUUUUUAAUUAUUUAAGGAAUCUGUUGCUGCGUAUGACAUCUCUUGCAAGCUCCCAGAGAGAAUUGAUGGAGCAUACAGCUAGGGAAUAGGAUACCAGAGAAGCACAGAGGAAGAAACCAGGCAAUCACCAGGAUGGAAAGGUUCAGCGUCCAUUGGAUAUGGGACAAGAUCGCUCGGCAACCCUUGUGGAUUCUCCUUCUUCUAGAGGCGAAUUAUAGUUAUGGAUUUAUUGUCCCGGUGCCGCACUUCCACCACCAGCAACAGCAGCAGCUUUCUGACUCUCUUCGGUGACGGGUAUUCUUGGGUGGAUAAUACGGAUUACGUUGUUAUUGCUUAAGAAUACGCGUAGUCGAGGAGAGUACCGGCGGCGGGCAGGCAGGCAGGCAGCGCGACCGCCCCCAGCCCACCAGCUGGCUCCUCACCUCCUCUAGUUGCCAAGCUGUACAGCCUAAGUUUCGUGGACUAGCCCAUCUUCCUUCCUUCUUCACCAUGCCAAAUCACCCAUGGAAAGCUGUAGAUCUUCAGUCUGUGGGGACAAUCUAACAACAGCAACUUCUGGGGGUGCUGCUACAAGGUGAGCCUUGGACUCUGCCUACGGUCUGUGCUCCCAGAUGUCAGCCUAUGACAGCAGAUGGAGGGACGCCCGGAGCUCUGCUUCCCCCAGGCACUGCACUGGGCAUUUGCUGCUCCCAGAGCUGCCGCACGCCAUGGGACUCCCAGCUGCCGGAUGCCUGACCCAGCUCGACUGCUGGUGGAGAUGUGUUGGGGCUGGCUUUGCCCUGCUUGCUGCUGCCUGCAUGCCUUAUUCUUCUGACUUAUGCCCCAGCCCAUUCCCAUCCCAUUGUGCUGCUGCCUCUGGGCUGUAUUGAGUUUUCAAUUAUCACAAUAUACAAUGCAGAUGCUAUGUAAAACAGCCAGCAUCGCUGGAGCACGCUGAACUCAGUAGAAACACAGUUAAAUAAAAGUAAUACUAUAAUACCAGGAGGCUGAUUGGAACCACAAGAUACCAGUGUCAUAUCCUGUGGCUUUUAUGUUGGUAGACGUAGAUUUUAGCCAUUAGAGUCUAGCUAUCCAACAGAUAACAACCAGAGGAAAUGGGUCUGGGUAUCUUCAAUUGUGAAUAACUGAUACACAUUUGCCAAUAAAUGGAGGACUUGGUAAACUGCCAGAUGAAGAAAACAUUUGACGUACAUACAAAUAUAAUCAAGCAUUUAAUAUGGUGUAGCAUCUAACUAUGUGUAACUUAAAGAAACUCCCUGAUUACACACAAGAGAGCUCUGACUUCAGACAAGCAAUGUGUGGUUGCACUGUCAACUCCAAAUUCAGGCAAGGAGAUAAACAGCAAGUGUGGAUCUCAACUUAUAUAUUUGUACCAGCAGCAACAACCUCCCAGAUGACAAUGAUAUUGUAAUAUCUAUGUGGGUGUAAAAUGCUAUGACAAAAGAGGAAGAAAUAAGAAAAAAUACAGUAAUGUCAAGUUUGCCUGUUAACUUUUACAGAAGCUCAGCAUCUGGAAUUUUAGUAUGUGUUAUGCAGACAAAUGUAAAGAGAGAAACGCAUUAACUGUGUUUUUCUCCAAAGCAAAAUGAAAUAAGCAUUCAGAGCAAAUUAUUAUAUUUAGUACUCUCAGGGCAAAUUCUAGUUGAGGAUUGUGAAGUAAUUUCAAAAUAUUAAUGAAUUAGCCUCACAGCUAUCUUUCAGGUAGAUAAUAAUGAUAAUUGUUACUACAAAUAAAUAUUAUUAUUAUCAGUCUUGCUCCAAGAAAUGAACAUUGAUGCAUAGAGAAUUUAUGUCUUUGUUUUACUACUGUAACCAUCCUUCUCUAGAACUAUUAUAUAUUAAGAUUAUCCUUUUCCAAAUACUGUGUGUGAUACUAUUCACUUUAUAAGGUCUAAAAACCAGCCAACUGAGCUUCCUUGUGAAACAGUGCCAGUGAACAUCUCCAUUUGCAUUUGAAUUCUCAAGCAGCAACAAUCUUGCUUUAAAAAAAAAAAAAAAAGAAGAAAAAAGGAA